rnacentral:rRNA from 1 species
GACGAACGCUGGCGGCGUGCUUAACACAUGCAAGUCGAACGAAAAUACCAAGCUUGCUUGGUUGAUUAGUGGCGAACGGGUGAGUAACACGUGAGUAACCUGCCCCUUACUUUCCUGGAUAACUGCUCGAAAGGGUAGCUAAUACGGGAUAUUCUGACCAGCCUGCAUGGGUUGGUUUGGAAAGGUUGUUUUUCUGGUAAGGGAUGGGCUCGCGGCCUAUCAGCUUGUUGGUGGGGUGAUGGCCUACCAAGGCUUUGACGGGUAGCCGGCCUGAGAGGGUGGACGGUCACACUGGGACUGAGAUACGGCCCAGACUCCUACGGGAGGCAGCAGUGGGGAAUAUUGCACAAUGGGCGCAAGCCUGAUGCAGCGACGCCGCGUGAGGGAUGAAGGCCUUCGGGUUGUAAACCUCUGUCGUCAGGGAACAAGGCACUGCUUUUUUGGUGGUGUUGAGGGUACCUGGAUAAGAAGCGCCGGCUAACUACGUG